CUGUGCCCCAUUAAUCUUGGGAAGAGGGACUGAUUGUGAAAUCACUAAUUUCUUUAUUUCUUCAUCAGUUUCCACAUAGCAACUUUUAUCUCCUUGUUCCUCAGUGUAUAGAUCAUGGGGUUCAUCAGAGGGAAGACCAUGGUGUGGAAAAAGGCCACCACCUUGUCAAAGGGAUAGUCCUGGAAGGGAUGGCAGUUGAUGUAGAUGGCUGGACCAAACAUAAUGCAGGCGAUGAUGAUGUGGGUGAUGCACGUAGAGGAGGCUUUGUUCUUCCCAUGGCUUGAGCUUGUCCUCACCUUUAUCAGCAGGGCCCCAUAAGAGAUGAGGAGGAGGAUGAAACAUGCAGCACUUACCAGGCCACUGCUAACAAACAUGAAAAAUUCUAAUGUGUAAGUGUUGGUGCAAGCCAGCUUAAUGAACUGGGUGACAUCACAGAAAUAGUUGUCUAGCUCAUUGGGGCCACAGAAUGGGAGAGGGAUGAUGAGAAUGACCUGGAUUAUGGAGUGCAGGAAUCCUCCAACCCAUGAACAUACCAGCAUACCCCAGCAGACUACUUGGGUCACCAUAGUAGCAUAGCGCAGUGGCUGGCAGAUGGCCACAUACCGGUCAAUGGCCAUGGCAAUGAGAAGGAACAUCUCAGCUGCACCAAGAAAAUGAAUGAAAAAAAUCUGAGUGAUACAUCCCAGGUAUGAUAUAGUCCUGUGGCCAGAGAAUAUGUUAGCCAUGAGCUUUGGUGGGGUGACACAGCUGUAGCAGAUGUCCAAGAAGGCCAGGUUGGCUAAGAAGAAAAACAUGGGGGAUCCCAGAUGGGGGUCCUUACAGAUUGUCACAAUGAUGACAAAGUUUGCAGGUAGGAUGAUGAUGUAGAAGAGCAGGAGAAGAACACAAAGGAACAGCUGCAUCUCCCAGAGCUGUGACAACCCCUGGAUAACAAACUCUUUCACUACAGUGUGAUUCCCAUUUUCCAUCCUUGCAGAUGUAGUCCUGAAAAACAAUUAUAUUUGAAUUGUUAAACAAUAAAUGAUUGCAAUCCCACUGUCCCCAUUUAUACACCUUAUUAUAAAUGCAACCAAUUGGUAGGCUGGCCAGGAGCAGAUCAAACUAACUCACGGGUUCAUGUUACAUUUAGGUUCUGAGGCUUUUGCGCAGAGAAAUGAUGAUUGCCUAAAAGCACUGUAUGGGAUAGAUGUCUCAGUGAUAUGUGCUCCAGCUGGACUGGAUGGCUAUAAUAUGUUCAGAAAACUAAACCCAGGAGAUGAGUCACAUGGACUCCUGUGCAAUUAGAACAUGAUGUCACUGAUAGUGAAGAGGAGAAAUUCAAUUCAGUGUGCAGUUAAAGCCAAAUUGACCACAUUUGCACUUUCAGAAACAAUAAACCACAAUGCAACUAUUGUUUGAAACUUGCACUUAUCUGAAUGGAUUGAGCCUUCUGAAGUGCAAAACAGAUUACCACUGAGUUAUGGCCCAUUUCCAAAUCUAAGGCUAACAAGACUGAGAUUCAUUGCUGCUGCUGUUGCUGCUGCUGCUGCUGCUGCUGCUGCUUCUGGACCCUGUUCCUUCCUUCCUCCAACCACAGAGAUUCUCAAGACCAUGGUAGAAUGAUCAGAUCUGACUGAAAACCUUUUGCUGCCUGAAAUGAGGAAUAAGAUCUGGCUUCCUCAACCUCGGCCCUCCAGAUGUUUUGAGACUACAAUUCCCAUCAUGCCUAACCACUGGUCCUGCUAGCUAGGGAUCAUGGGAGUUGUAGGCCAAAAACAUCUGGAGGGCCGAGGUUGAGGAAGCCUGAAUAAGAUGGUGCCCCCACCCCACAAUACCACACUCAGCUGCUGACAAAACUGGCAGCUUAACAUUGCUUUGAUACCAGAGAAUCCUCAACUACACAUCAACUACAACCAGCUCAGGAGGCAAAGGGCAGACCAUAUGGAACACACAGUUCUGCCCUCCACAUUUCCCACCCUCCAGCAUUUGCCACCUGAGGCAGCUUCCUCAAUUUGCAUAAAUGGUAGUGCUGGCCAUACUUGCAGAGCUCAGGGACUAGGGAUAGAAGGAUUUGUCAUUUUCAGUUUUUUGGUUUCUCAUUUUUCCAAUUUUAAAUUCCACUCCCCACAUUUCAACAUCAGUUUGAUAUUUGUUUUAAAAAGAGCCCUAAUCAAAAUCAAUCAGCAUUUUAAUACAAAUUCCUUCUAAUUUUUGCAUUGAAAGUAAUGGCUGUCCCCUUAAAGCAAGAGUAGGGAGCCACUAGUCCUCUAGAUAUUGCUGGACCACAACUGUCACCAUCCCUGACCACUUGCCAUGGUACCUGGAGCUGGUGAGAGUUGAACAACAGCUGGAGGGCUGCAGUUUAGCCAACUCUGCCAUAAAGGCUUGAGGCGGCCAGAAAAAAGCAGCCACCAUGCCAUCCAUCCUGAUCCUCCACCAGACCCCUCCUCUGCGUUCUCUUUGCUUCCUUAGUAGUGAUUAGCAAAGAAGAUAAGAACAAAAGAAGGGUCUGCAGGAUGAGGCCAGUGGCCCAUCUAGUCCAGCAUCUUCUUCUCAGUGUGGCCCACCAGAUGCCAGCAAGCAGGACUACUGGUUGAAGCAAAUGAUCAAUAGAGGAGCAAGGGAGGAAAACUAAAGCCAUGCAAAAAGACAAUGUAAAAAAGAGCAGAGAUGAGACAAACAUUUACCCUUUGAUCCCUUUCAAUUUGCAGACAGCCCUUCUGGCAGAAGAAAUCUUCGUCAUCCUCAUACUUAUAUUGCCUAUGGAAGAAGUGCAUCCAAGGAUAUACUGAGCCCAGAAGAAACACCUUCCAGUGAUCCCAGAGGACCUCAUUAAAAUGGUUGGCAAUUUCUUUUAUUUCAAUGGUGCUUCAAGGAUAUUGAUAAUCAGCAUGAGGUUUGACAACCCCAUUUUCUAGUCACUUCCCCGUUUAAUUGUUUAUUUUUUUAUUAAACCUCAACACAGAGUAAAUAACAGCUCUCCUUUUUUGUACAUGAAUUAAUUAUAUGAUACAUAUAUGGCUAUGGACUAUGGGUAGUAAUAACACAGUUUUGUUAAAUGAUUAUUUUUUAUUUUUUAAUAUUUUUAUUAAUUUUCUCAGUAACAAACAUCACAAAAAAUAAACAUCAAGAAAGGACUGUUAAGGGGGGAAAGAGAAAAAUAGGAAAAAUGUAAAAGGAAAAAAAAUCUAUUUACAUAUUCAAUAUCAAAUCCAAAUAAGUAAAAGUUGAUUGAUAAUGGGUUAAACUGAAAAAAUUGAAGGUUAGACCGUUAAGAUAAACUAUAGAAUAAAAAUUGAGAAAGAUGGGAAGAACUUGCUGAAAUAGUGAAUUGAACUAGAAUACAAAAAAAAAGGAGGUGUGAGGAGGUCGAUGAAACAAGUAAAGGAAAGGUAAAGACAUGGAAUACUGGAUGGGUGUUUUAGUUUCUUUUUUGUCUGUCUUUUUUGCUGUAUUGUUGUAUGGCUUUUAUAUGUUUUAUAUGUUUUGUUAUUGUUCUUUUUCUUUUUUUAUUGUUCUUUUUUCUUCCUUUUUCUGUAAUUUUUAAACUUUUAAUAAAUAUCAUUAAAAAAAAUAUCAAAUCCAAAUAUGGCAAUGGGAGAGUAUCCUGCUCCAUUAUACCUAAUGGCAGCAGACUAGUUUAGUGACUGUGUAGAAACAUGGGAAUCUGCCUUGUACUGACUCAGACCUACAGGUCAAUCUGCCUCAGUAUUGUCCAAACUGACCUGCUCGGAUCAUAAUGCAGUGUUGUUGGAAAUAAAAUUGUCUCUGCAGGGGUCUUACAGAUGAGUAAUAAUAAUAAUAAUAAUAAUAAUAAUAAUAAUUUUUUAUUUAUAUCCCACCCUCCCCAGCCAAAGCCGGGCUUAGGGUGGCUAACAAGAAUAAAAUAAUACAAGAUUCUAAAAUCAUUUCAUUAUAAAAUUAAUUCAAAUCAAAUUGAUGGCAACCAUUGGGCUAGAGUUCUGUGAAGAUUGCCAAAGGAGGGAGUCAGGCUGUGCCUUGGCCAAAGGCUUGGUGGAACAGCUCUGCCUUGCAGUCCCUGUGGAAAGAUGUUAAGUCCCGCAGGGUCCUAGUCUCUUGUGGCAGAGCAUUCCACCAGAUCGGAGCCAGAGCCGAAAAAGCCCUGGCUCUGGUUGAGGCCAGCCUAACCUCUCUGUGGCCUGGGACCUCCAAGAUGUUUUUGUUUGAAGAUCUUAAGUUCCUCUGUGGGACAUACCAGGAGAGGCGGUCUCGUAGGUACGAGGGUCCUAGGCCGUAUAGGGCUUUAAAAGUUAAAACUAGCACCUUAAACCUGAUCCUGUACUCCACUGGGAGCCAGUGCAGCUGGUAUAGCACCGGGUAAAUGUGAUCUCACAGCGAGGACCCCGUAAGGAGUCUCGCUGCAGCAUUCUGCAACUGCUGGAGUUUCUGGGUCAGUCUCAAGGGCAGCCCCACGUGGAGCGACUUACAAUAAUCCAGUCUGGAGGUGACCGUCACGUGGAUCACAGUGGCUAGGUCAGGGCGAGAGAGGUAAGGAGCCAACUGCUUAGCUUGGCGGAGAUGAAAAAAUGCCGCCUUUGUUAUAGCUUCAACCUGCGCCUCCAUGAAAAGGGAGGUGUCGAAGAUUACACCCAAACUCUUAACGGAUGGUGCUGGCACUAAUUGCGCCCCCGCAAGAGAUGGGAGUUGCCCCCCCAAUCCCAUAUUGUCCCGACCCAGCCAAAGGACCUCUGUCUUCGAAGGAUUUAACUUCAACUGGCUCCCACGUAGCCAUCCAGCCACAGCUUCCAAACAUCUGAUCAGUGUGUCUGGGGCCGAGUCAGGAUGGCCAUCCAUCAACAGAUAGAGUUGGGUGUCAUCGGCAUACUGAUGGCAGCCCAACCCAAAACUCCAGACAAGCUGGGCAUGGGGGCGCAUAAAGAUGUUGAAAAGCAUCAGGGAGAGUAUCGCACCCUGAGGUACUCCACACACCAGGGAGUGGUGCGAUGACAGUUCCCCCCCAAGCGCCACCCUCUGUCCCCGACCAAAGAUAAACAAGCGCAGCCAUUGAAAGACUGUGCCCUGGAUCCCCCGUCGGCAAGGCUGUGGUCCAGGAGCUUGUGAUCGACCAUGUCAAAGGCUGCUGACAGGUCUAGAAGAAUCAGCAGCCCCGACCCGCCUCGAUCCAGCUGCCUGCGGAGAUCAAGAAUGAACGAUGAUUUAUUGAGCAAUGAGCAGAUGAUUAGGAAGGCCCAAAAGACUCUAAAGGAUUACUUUGAGACAAAUAUUAAUUCUGAGGUGGAAAUAAGAGUCGUUUGGGAUGCAAGUAAGGCAGUAAUGAGAGGAUUCCUCAUACAUCAAAAUUUGAUCAAGAAAAGGAUACAGAAUGAGAAAAAAGACAAUAUUCUUUCUCAAUUAAAAGAUAAAGAGAAGAACUUGAGAUCUAAUCCGAAGAACCAGCAGAUUCAAAAGGAAAUUAAAGCACUACAGAUCCAAUACUCUCAGAUUAUAAAUCAGGAAAUAGAAUGGGGGGGGGAAAAUGAUGAGACAGAGAAACUUCGAAUUGGCAAAUAAAUGUGGAAAAUUGCUGGCUUGGCAGUUAAAAAAGAGACAAAAACAAAGGACUAUUACUAAUAUUGUAUCAGAAGGAAAGUCUAUGGAGAAUCCUGCAGAGAUAAGAUGUUUUUAGAAAUACUAUAAACAACUGUAUAAAAAUGGAAAAGAAGAUAAUGGUAAAAUUGAGCAAUUUAUCCAAGUACAUGGAUUGCCAAAAAUUCCCGAAAAUAAAAAGAUCGUACUUAAUGGAUUGAUCACAAGACAAGAGGUUGAGAAUGCAAUAAAUCAGAUGCAGCUUGGUAAAACACUAAGGCCAGAUGGUUUGUCAGCAAAAUACUAUAAAGCUUUUAAAGACUGACUUAUUCAGCCAUUGAUGGACGUAUGCAAUAAGAUAUUAAGAGGGGACAAAGCACCUGAAACCUGGAAGGAAGACUUUAUAACCCUGAUUCCAAAACCAGAUCAAAAUAGGUCCAAUGUGAAAAAUUAUAGGCCGAUCUCAUUACUAAAUGUGGAUUACAAUUUUUUUGCUAACAUUAUGGCCAACAGGUUGAAGAAGCUACUAACAGAUUAUAUUCAUAAGGACCAGGCAGGAUUUCUACCUGGGAGAUCUAUGAAAGAUAACAUUAGGAAUAUAAUCGAUGUGUUAGAAAGAUUAGAAGUUAAAAAAAACUCAAAAGCGAUGUUAAUGUUUAUAGAUGCUGAGAAGGCCUUUGAUAAUGUUUCAUGGAGUUUUAUGAAAAGGAAUUUAGAAAGUAUUGAGGCUGGACAAUAAUUUUUAAAUGGUAUUAAUGUGAUCUAUUUUGAGCAAAAAGCUAAACUCAUAUUUAAUAAUGUGGUUUCAGAAGAAAUUAGAAUUGAGAAAGGAACCAGGCAAGGGUGCCCACUUUCCCCUCUGCUUUUUAUUUCAGUCCUGGAGGUUUUGCUAAACAUGCUAAGGAAAGAGGAAGAGGUUAAAGGUAUAACAGUAGGAUCCAAACAAUAUGAGUUAAAAGCCUUUGCUGACAAUUUGAUAUUAACAUUACAAGACCCAGAUUCCAGUGCAGUGAAAGCACUAGAGUUGAUUCAAGAGUUCAGGCAAGUAGCAGGAUUUAAGUUAAACAAGAGCAAAACCAAAGUGCUGGGGGGGGGGGGAUUAGAUAAUGAGGUGAGAAAAAUCCUUCAGGAAAAGACAGGCCUUGUUUUUGUGAAAAAAGUAAAGUACCUGGGUGUGAAUUUAUUGGUGAAAAACUUGAAUUUAUAUAAUGACAAUUAUGAGAAAUUAUGGAAGGAAAGAAAGAGAGAUCUUGAGAUUUGGUCAAAUUUAAAAUUGUCAUUAAUGGGCCGAACGAAUAUAGGUGGUUAAAGAUGUUGUUUUUAUUCCAAGCUUUACCAAUUACUGAUAAUGUCAGAUGUUUUAAAGAAUGGCAGAAAGCAUUGUCUAAAUUUAUCUGGCGGGGGGGGGGCGGGACCCAGAAUUAAAUAUAAAAUAUUAACAGAUGCAAAAGAGAGGGGGGGAUUUUCCCUGCCAGAUCUGAAAAUAUAUUUCAAGGCAGCAGCUUUCUGCUGGAUUAAGGAAUAGAUUCAAAUAGAUAAUGCUGAUGUGUUAGACUUGGAAGGAUUCGACAGUGUAUUUGGUUGGCAUGCAUAUUUAUGGUAUGACAAGAUAUCGGCCCAUAAAGGUUUUAAAAAUCAUGUAAUUAGAAAAUCUCUAUAUAAUGUAUGGAUAAGAUAUAAAGAUCUCUUGGGAAGGAAAACACCCAGAUAGCUUUCACCAAUGGAAGCUAAGGCUCAGAAAAAGUUGAAUAUGGAGAGUAAUUGGUUGAAAUAUGAUGUUUUACUAGUGGAAGAAAAUGAAGAAUUUAAACUAAGACCAUUUGACCAAAUCAAAGGCAAAUUAAAUGGAUGGUUACAAUAUUAUCAGAUUAAUGAAUUAUUUAAAUUGGAUAGGAAAAACCGUUUUGCAACAGAAAAAUCCAAAUUGGAAAUGGAAUUGUUAGAUACGAAUGUUAAAAAUCUCUUUAAAAUGUAUUUGUUGUUAGAAUGGCAUACAAAGGAUGAACAAGUUAAAUCUGUGAUGAUUGAUUGGGCAAGAGAUGUUGGACACAAUAUAAUGUUGAAAGAUUCGGAAAGGCUGUGGAAGAAAGGGGUUCGGAAAGGCUGUGGAAGAAAGGGGUUAAGUUUACUGCAUGUACGGUAUUAAACGAAAACAUUAUGAAAAUGGUUUAUAGAUGGAACUUAACCCCGGUGAAAUUAGCAAAGAUGUAUCAUACAAAGGAUAAUUUGUGUUGGAAAUGUAAAGAAAAAGAAGGUACUUUCUACCAUAUGUCGUGGACAUCUCCCAAGGUGAAAGACCUCUGGGAGAAGAUUUAUAAUGAGUUGGAAAAAAUGUUGAAGAAUACAUUUAUUAAAAAACCAGAAGCCUUUCUACUUGGAAUAAUAGGACUAGAAUUGACCAAAAAAGAUUUUAGAAUGUUUUUGUAUGCCACUACAGCGGCAAGAAUUUUAUUUGCCCAAAACUGGAAAUCGCAAGAGAUGCCAACAAUAGAAGAAUGGCAGAUGAAGAUGUUGGACUUUUUGGAGCUGGCCGACCUGACUGGAAGAAUCCGCAACCAGAAAGAAGAGACCCAAAAGGAUUGGAAGAAUUUUAAAGAAUACCUAGCUAAAUACUGUAAUAUAAGAUAAAGAGAAAUCUCUUGGAAGUAAAAAAUUAGGCCUAGCGUUACAAUAAGUUUAUGUAGUUAAAAAUACAAAUGAUUGGAAUAUUAAUAAUGGAGAAGAAGUUAGUAAAUGAAAGAAGUUAAUAUUAUUAGAAAUAUGAAUUUGGAGAACUGCUAAUUAGGUGAUAAAAUGAAAUUCAGUUAGAGGGGAUUCGAGGAAGUCAUCAAUGUAAUGCAAUCCGGAUUUGGAAAUUAAAAUUCUUUUCUAUAUGUUUUUCUGUAUUUUUGUGUAUUGUAAUGUUUUUCUUUUGUCUUUUUUUCUUUUUCUUUUGUACAUGACUAAUGUGAAAAUUAAUUUAAAAAAUUGGGGGGGGGGGAGUCCACACUGAUUGUCAGUGGCUCUCCAGGACUUCCCUACACUUCCUGGCAAACCUGGGAGUGUCUACAUGCUCUUUCACUGAGCUAUGACCCCCCUCUCUUGCAAGACAGCUUUGAUCUACAGAGAAGGGAAAUGACUGGUUGUAUGGAAAGAAGGGGUUGCUAAGAUCCAAGAUGUAACUGAACGACUGCAAGGAAUCAUAAAACCCACUGACAAAUACCCCUUCCUCUUGGUUCAUGUGGGAACCAAUGACACUGCAAGCAAUAGCCUCCAGAAGAUCAAAAGAGACUACGAGGCUCUGGGCAGGAAAUUGAAGCAAUUAAAUGCACAAAUUGUCAUCUCAUCUGUCCUCCCAGUUGAACGACGUGGCCCAGGGAGAGAGGGAAAAAUAGUGGAAGUGAACAGCUGGCUUUGCAAAUGGUGUAAACAGGAACGGUUUGGAUUCUUAGAUCACGGACUGCAGUUUCUUGAAGAUGGACUUCUGGCAAGCGAUGGGCUGCACCUCACAACGGUUGGGAGAAAUGUUUUUGCCAAAAAUCUCAGAAACCUCAUCAGGAGGGCUUUAAACUGACUAAUGUGGGGGAGGGAGACAGUGCUCCUGAAGGUAGGAGUCUAUCAAUUGAUGAAGAUGAUCAUCCAAAUGUCAUAGACCAAAUGGAGCAAACAGCACGCAGACCUAGUGGUGGGAGGAAAAAAUCCUUAAAUAAGAGACACGGGGGAAUGAUUAAUGGACUUCAGUGUCUGUACACUAAUGCGCAAAGCAUGGGAAAUAAACAAGAUGAGCUUGAGCUCUUGGUACAGCAAACUAAAUAUGACAUAAUAGGCAUCACUGAAACCUGGUGGGAUAAGUCCCACAAUUGGAAUGUAAUAAUGGAGGGAUACAAUCUAUUUCAGAGAAACAGACCAGACAAAAAAGGAGGAGGAGGAGUGGCGUUAUAUGUCAGGAAUGUGUAUACCUGUGAAGAGAUCCAAGAUUUAGAACCUCAAAGCCAAAGUGAGAGCAUUUGGGUCAAAAUUAAGGGAGAGAAGAAUAACAGUGACCUCAUUGUGGGAGUUUACUAUAGAUCCCCAAGCCAAACAGAGGACAUAAAUGAUGCCUUCCUGGAACAGAUGGCCAAGCAUGCAAAAGGAAGGGAGAUAGUAGUAAUGGGGGACUUCAAUUACCCGGAUAUUUGUUGGAUGUCAAACUCAGCCAAGAGCAUAAGGUCAAACAGAUUCCUCACUGGCCUUGCAGACAACUUCAUUGUCCAGAAAGUGGGAGAAGCAACAAGAGGAACAGCCAUUUUAGAUCUGGUCCUAACCAAUGUUGAUGACCUGGUUAGUGGGGUAGAAGUGGAUGGAUCAUUAGGCGCGAGUGAUCAUGCUCUUCUGAAGUUUACUAUACAGCGGAAAGGAGCAGCCAAGCAUACUAGGACUCAAUUUCUUGACUUUAAGAAAGCCGACUUCAUAAAACUUAGGGAAGUGCUGGGUGAGAUCCCAUGGACAGUAAUACUAAAAGGAAAAGGAGUUCAUGAUGGCAGGGAGUUUGUUAAGAGGGAGAUAGUAAAAGCACAACGUCAGGCAUUACCAAUGAGAUGGAAACAUGGAAGGUACCUAAAGAAGCCAGGGUGGCUAUCUAAAGAACUUUUAACUGAGUUAAGAUUAAAAAAGGAUGUGUACAAAAAAUGGAAAAGGGGGGAAACCACCAAAGAGGAAUUCAAACAAAUAGCCAGCACGUGUAGACACAAAGUCAGAAAAGCUAAAGCACAGAAUGAACUCAGGCUUGCUAGAGAGGUUGAAAGCAACAAAAAGGUUUUUAUGGGUAUGUUCGUAGCAAAAGGAAGAACAAAGAAACAGUGGGGUCACUCAGAGGAGAAGAUGGCGAAAUGCAAACAGGGGACACAGAAAGGGCUGAACUCCUCAAUGCCUUCUUUGCCUCAGUCUUCUCCAACAAAGAAAACAAUGCCCGACCUGAAGAAUUUGAAGCAAAUGAUUCAGCAAAGGAAACACAGCCCAGAAUAACUAAGGAGAUAGUACAAGAAUACUUGGCUAGUUUAGAUGUAUUCAAGUCUCCAGGGCCAGAUGAACUGCAUCCAAGAGUAUUAAAAGAACUGGCAGAUGUGAUCUCAGAACCACUGGCAGUCAUCUUUGAGAAUUCCUGGAGAACAGGCGAAGUCCCGGCAGAUUGGAGGAGGGCAAAUGUUGUCCCUAUUUUCAAAAAAGGGGAAAGAGAGGACCCAAAUAAUUACCGCCCAGUCCGUCUGACAUCAAUACCAGGGAAGAUUCUGGAGCAGAUAAUUAAGCAAACAGUCUGUGAGCACCUAGAAAGGAAUGCUGUGAUCACCAAUAGUCAGCAUGGAUUUCUGAAAAAUAAGUCAUGUCAGACUAACCUGAUCUCGUUUUUUGACAGAAUUACAAGCCUGGUAGAUGAAGGGAACGCAGUGGAUGUAGCCUACCUUGAUUUCAGCAAGGCAUUUGACAAGGUGCCCCAUGAUAUUCUUGUAAAGAAGCUGGUAAAAUGCGGUCUUGACUAUGCUACCACUCAGUGGAUUUGUAACUGGCUGACUGACCGAACGCAAAGGGUGCUCAUCAAUGGUUCCUCUUCAUCCUGGAGAAGAGUGACUAGUGGGGUGCCACAGGGUUCUGUCUUGGGCCCGGUCUUAUUCAACAUCUUUAUCAACGACUUAGAUGAUGGACUCAAGGGCAUCCUGAUCAAAUUUGCAGAUGACACCAAACUGGGAGGGGUGGCUAACACCCCAGAGGACAGGAUCACACUUCAAAACGACCUUGACAGAUUAGAGAACUGGGCCAAAACAAACAAGAUGAAUUUUAACAGGGAGAAAUGUAAAGUAUUGCACUUGGGCAAAAAAAUGAGAGGCACAAAUACAAGAUGGGGGACACCUGGCUUGAGAGCAGUACAUGUGAAAAGGAUCUAGGAGUCUUGGUUGACCACAAACUUGACAUGAGCCAACAGUGUGACGCGUCAGCUAAAACAGCCAAUGCAAUUCUGGGCCUCAUCAAUAGCAGUAUAGCAUCUAGAUCAAGGGAAGUAAUAGUGCCACUGUAUUCUGCUCUGGUCAGACCUCACCUGGAGUACUGUGUCCAGUUCUGGGCACCACAGUUCAAGAAGGACACUGACAAACUGGAACGUGUCCAGAGGAGGGCAACCAAAUGGUCAAAGGCCUGGAAACGAUGCCUUAUGAGGAACGGCUAAGGGAGCUGGGCAUGUUUAGCCUGGAGAAGAGGAGGUUAAAGGGUGAUAUGAUAGCCAUGUUCAAAUAUAUAAAAGGAUGUCACAUGGAGGAGGGAGAAAGGUUGUUUUCUGCUGCUCCAGAGAAGCGGACAUGGAGCAAUGGAUCCAAACUACAAGAAAGAAGAUUCCACCUAAACAUUAGGAAGAACUUCCUGACAGUAAGAGCUGUUCGACAGUGGAAUUUGCUGCCAAGGAGUGUGGUGGAGUCUCCUUCUUUGGAGGUCUUUAAGCAGAGGCUUGACAACCAAAUGUCAGGAGUGCUCUGAUGGUGUUUCCUGCUUGGCAGGGGGUUGGACUCGAUGGCCCUUGUGGUCUCUUCCAACUCUAUGAUUCUAUGAUUCUAUGAUGAUUUUCUGGGGGCAGUACACAGGAAAAGGAUUUGCUCCUUUUCUGCACUCCCCAAAGAAGACAAUUACAGUGGUGCCUCGUAAGACGAAAUUAAUUCGUUCCGUGAAUUUUUUUGUCUAGCGAAUUUUUUGUCUUGCGAAGCACGAAAUCACAUAGGAAUGCCUUGAAAUUCAAUUAAUGUGUUCCUUUGGUCAAAAAAAGUCCAAACAAAGCCAAAUUUGGUACAACAAGAGUUUAUUAAGUGCUCUUUAAAGUCACACAUACUGUAAAGAGCAUUUCAAAAAUUGAAGGAACAAUAAAUUAAGUUUCUAAACAUGACAGAAAAACAUUUAAAAAUCAACAAAGUGUACAUACAUUUUCUAAGACUCUGGGGGACAACUCGAAGAAGGUUCCUCUUCCACUCUUUGCUUCUUGCUGAAGAACCCCCUCCUCAACUGUUCACCCAGCCACCCACCACACAGAAAUUCAAAUCCAGAAUUUUUUUAAAAAAACAGCAGAGUGGCCCAAUGGUCACAGAAAAUCAUAAAAAUGCAGAAAAAAACCACACAAGCUUCCAGAUUCUUGCAAACCCCUCCUCAACUGUUCCCCCAGCCACCCACCACACAGAAAUUCAAACCCAGAAUUUUUUUUAAAAAAACAGCAGAGUGGCCCAAUGGUCACAAAAAAUCAUAAAAAUGCAGAAAAAAACCACACAAGUUUCCAGAUUCUUGCAAACCCCUCCCCAACACCAAGUCCUUGAAUUCCAAACACCCCAACCCAAAAUCCAAAAGCCCCCCAAAAAGUUUUAAAAGUUUAACUUACCAAAUGGCUGCAAAAGAAGUUUUGGAAAAGCUUCAAAAAUCGCCAAAGUCUUCAAAAACCUCAAAAAAGGCUACCACACCGCGUGCUAUGAGUUGCUCCUCGAAGUCAAGUCGCAACUGCACCUCUUCAAGAAAUGCACCUUGGGUUUUAACGGUUUUACGAAAAAGGAAACAAACUUGCAAGACGUUUUCGUCUUGCGAAGCAAGCCCAUAGGGAAAUUCGUCUUGCGAAGCAGCUCAAAAACCGCAAAACCCUUUCGUCUAGUGAGUUUUUCGUCUUGCGAGGCAUUCGUCUUGCGGGGCACCACUGUAUUUUAGAACAAUGACCACAACACGAAGACCUUUAUUGCUUUUUGUUUUGAUUUUUAUAAAGGUUUUGUUUCCUCAGUGGAAAAAAAAAAGUGGGGUCUUUUUUAUUUGGCAUUAUUUAUUUGUUUUAUUUUAUGUUAAUACCAUGGUUCCUCCAAGGAACACAAAACAGUAUCCAUGGUCACCUGUUCCCCUAUAUUCAUUCAUUGGAGUGUCAGAAAAGGGUGCUGUCUAGCCUGUGCCCCAUGAAUCUUGGGAAGAGGGACUGAUGUGAAAUCACUAAUUUUUAUAUUUCUUCAACAGUCUCCACAUAGCAACUUUUAUCUCCUUAUUUCUCAGUGUGUAGAUCAUGGGAUUCAUCAGAGGGAAGACCACGGUGUGGAAAAAGGCUACCACUUUGUCGAAGGGAAAGUCCUGGAAGGGACGGCAGUAGAUGUAGAUGGCUGGACCAAACAUAAUGCAGGCGAUGAUGAUGUGGGUGAUGCACGUAGAGGAGGCUUUGUUCUUCCCAUGGCUUGAGCUUGUCCUCACCUUUAUUAGCAGGGCCCCAUAAGAGAUGAGGAGGAGGAUGAAACACGCAGUGCUUACAAGGCCACUGCUAACAAACAUGACAAAUUCUAAUGUGUAAGUGUUGGUGCAAGCCAGUUUAAUAAUCUGGGUGACAUCACAGAAGAAGUUGUCAAGCUCAUUGGGGCCACAGAAUGGGAGAGGGAUGAUGAGAAUGACCUGGAUUAUGGAGUGCAGGAAUCCUCCAACCCAUGAACAUACCGACAUACCCCAGCAGACUACUUGGGUCACCAUAGUAGCAUAGCGCAGUGGCUGGCAGAUGGCCACAUACCGGUCAAUGGCCAUGGCAAUGAGAAGGAACAUCUCAGCUGCACCAAGAAAAUGAAUGAAAAAAAUCUGAGUGAUACAUCCCAGGUAUGAUAUAGUCCUGCGACCAGAGAAUAUGUUAGCCAUGAGCUUUGGUGGGGUGACACAGCUGUAGCAGAUGUCCAAGAAGGCCAAGUUGGCUAAGAAGAAAAACAUGGGGGAUCCCAGAUGGGGGUCCUUACAGAUUGUCACAAUGAUGACAAAGUUUGCAGGUAGGAUGAUGAUGUAGAAGAGCAGGAGAAGAACACAAAGGAACAGCUGCAUCUCCCAGAGCUGUGACAACCCCUGGAUAACAAACUCUUUCACUACAGUGUGAUUCCCAUUUUCCAUCCUUGCAGAUGUAGUCCUGCAAAACAAUUAUAUUCGGAUUGUUAAACAAUAUAUGAUUGCAAUACCCCUGCUCCUUUCAAAAUCGGGCUCCGGCGGCACGGCGGCAGCAGGAGGCCCCAUUAGCUAAAGUGGUGCUUCAGGUUUAGAACAGUUUCAGGUUAAGAACGUACCUCCGGAACGAAUUAAGUACUUAACCUGAGGUACCACUGUACAUUAUUUACACAAUGAGUCCUAUCUGAAUGGCUGAUUCUGCUUCCCUCCUGGAGCCUGAUUGGUCUUUUCCUGCAGGCCAAUCAAUUGUUGCAUUCUAGGAUCCUACUUGCCUAUUGUUCUAGGAUCCAAGCUUAGUACAUAAUAAUAAUAAUAAUAAUAAUAAUAAUAAUAAUAAUAAUAAUAAUAUCUUUAUUGUCAUUGCCCCCUUCGGGGACAACGAAAUUACUUGACUGCUCCAUAAAAACACUAAUUAAUCAAUACAGUAUAAUACAGCAAGGGAGAUUAGAUGACUUUCAAAGUCCGGGCUUCCCAUUCAGGGCCGAGAUCGCUCUGGAGAAGAAGCUGUUCUUAAGACGGCUCGUUCUUGUCUUCAUCGUCCUGUAUCUCCAUCCCGACGGCAAGAGCUCGAAGAGACAGUGACCAGGAUGCGAUGGAUCUUUUACUAUGUCCAGUGCCUUCCUAUGGCACCUUGUGGCAUAAAUCUGCUCUAAGGUGGAGAGUGGGCAGCCAACAAUGCUCUCUGCUGCCUUAACAACCCUGCACAACCCCAUCCUGUCCUGGGUAGUACAGCUUCCGUACCACACACAUAAGCCAUAAGUGAGCACGCUCUCAAUGGCACAGUGAUAGAAGGCAAGCAGCAGUUUCUGCGGAAGAUGGUUUUUCCUUAGUAUUCUCAAAAGUACAGUCUCUGCUGCACCUUCUUCACAAGCCCCCUUGUGUUGACACUCCAGGACAGAUCCUCUUGUAAUUCAAUGCCCAAAAAUCUGAACGUUGUUACCCUCUCCACACAGACCCCAUCAAUCAAAAGUGGCUGGACGUUGCUCUUCUGUCUCCUGAAGUCCACCACAAGCUCCUUUGUCUUCCUUGUAUUUAUGAGCAAGUUGUUAGCUCUGCACCACUCUAUCAGCCGCUCCACCUCAUCUCUAUAAUCCGUUUCACCCUCCCUUUCAGAGAUGAGCCCAAUCACGGUUGUGUCAUCUGCAAAUUUGACAACCCUAUUACUAGGGUGAGUAGCGACACAAUCGUACGUGUAGAGAAUAUAAAGGAGCGGACUGAGUACGCAUCCCUGUGGUGUUCCUAUGUUAGUCUUGAGCAUAUUAGAGGUAUAGGGGCCCAACCGAACCCUCUGGGGGCGGUCUGACAAAAAGUCCAAUAUCCACCCACAAAGUGAUAACGGAAGCCCCAGAUCUUCCAGUUUAGACAUCAGACGUUGUGGUAGAAUGGUAUUAAAUGCCGAGCUGAAAUCUAAAAAAAGCAGUCUGGCAUAACCCCCCCGCUGCUCCAAAUGUGCAAGGACGGCAUGGAGGGCAAUCGCCACAGCGUCCUCUGUCGAUCUUUUCAUUUUAUAAGCAAAUUGGAAUGUGUCCAGUCCCUCUGGUAGGCAGGCAAUGACAUAAUUUCGUACCAGCUUUUCAAAGCACUUCAUGAUUAUAGGUGUGAGUACUACUGGACGAAAAUCAUUCAGAUCUUCCGGGUUAGAUUUUUUUUGCUAUUGGAACGAUAAUAGAGGACUUUAGGCAGGAUGGAACAAUAGCCUGGGCUAGGGAUCGAUUUAAAAUCCCAGUGAAAACUCCUGCUAGUUGAUCUGCACAGUCUCUCAAUACCCUUCCAGCUACCCCAUCUGGCCCUGUGGCCUUCCUUGGGUUGAUUCCCUUCAACACCUUCCUCAUCUCUUCUUUUUCCACAGAGACUACUGCAUUCCUUUGUACUGAUGAUGGUAAUGGUGGUGAUGAUGGCAAAGCCUUCACAGGGAGUGGUGGUGGUGUUGGUAAAGCCUCAGCAGGUGUUGCUGCAGAUGUUACUUCAAAACGGGCAAAAAAGGCAUAACACAGAGCCAGUGUUUUGUAGUGAUUAGAGUGUGGGAUUAGUACCUGUGAGACAUUCUGAAAAACUUUCUGACACUAAGAGCUGUUUAGCAGUGGAACAGAUUCCCACAAGAGGUGGUGGACUCUCCUUCCUUAUGGUUUUUUAAACAGAGGUUGAAUGGCCUUCCAAUUCUAAGAUUCUGGAAACUAAAUGAUAGCUAGUGCAGUCAGGCCAGGAUCAGUGUUACAUGAUCAAAUCGUCUUCCCCAGUGAACAACCUGACUGUUGAAUUCUCCACCAGUUAAAGCUUCCUAACCUUAUCCAGUGGCAACUCCACAUAUAGUAGUAAUCUAAUUUAGAGGGUACCAGAGCAUAGACAACAGAAGUUAGGCUAUCCCUGUCCACAGGGUCACCAGCUGAAGAUGAUGGAAGGCACUCUGCAUCACUGAAGCCAUCUGAGCCUCAAACAACAGCAAUGAAUCCUGAUGUACUUCCCUCACAGGGUAGUGAGAGCUAAAUGAGGUGGGGGAGAACCAUGUAUGCCUUCUUGAGCUCCUUGGAUAGAAGGUAGAACAUAAAUGCAAAGAAACAAAACAAUCCUUUCCUUGUUCUCCUCUAUUCCCAAGUUUGAUAACACCUCUGUCAAUUAUAUGCAUGUUUUGCAUUUAUCUAGAAAUAGGAAUCAGGGACACAUACAGCACUGAUGCAAGAGUACAAUAUUGAUACAAGCAAAUGUAUCAUACAUACAUGUCUGUGUUUGUUUUUGCCUUCUGAUGUCACUAUUCAUUUUUUCAUACUUCAUUUUCUGUUCACAAUCGGCCAAAUUUACACAAGGAAUAUUGUCAUGAUGAUAGGAAAAGUAUUUCCUUUGCAAUUCAGGUAGAGAUGGGUCAAUCUAUCAGUUUCAGGUUCUCUCAGUUUCUCAUCUUUCCAAUCUUAAAUUCUCUAUAUUUACACAUCACUCCGUGGUUUUUUAAAAAAGAAAACCACAUAAAUAUUUAUCAUCAUUUUAUUGCAAAUUUCUCCUAAUAUGCAUAUUUUUGUAUGCAAUUUUGCAAAAUAUACACAGAUUUCUACAAAAGAAUUUCCUUUGAUCUAAUCAAUUUCGUUAAAUAUUAUUUACUCUUAUGUGCAUUUUAAUGCACAUUUUGCUGUAUUAUAAGCUAUUCUGUACAUAUUACUUAGGUGUAGGACUAGGAUGGUAUUCACCUCUAGUCCUAUUCAGUGCAGACAUGUUGACAUUAUUGGACAUGGCAAUCUUUUAUUCAUUAAUUUCAAUGGGUCAACACUGGGUAGGACUUAGGUGACUAUAAUUCCUACACUACAAAAUUCAAACAGGUGCGAAUUUCAAAGGUUGUCUUUUCUUUGGUUUGCAUAUUGUUCAGAAAACUAAACCCAGGAGAUGAGUUACAUGGAGUCCUCUGUGAUCUGAACAUGAUGUCACUGAUAGUGAAGAGGAGAAAUUCAAUUCAGUGUGCAGUUAAAGCCAAAUUGACCACAUUUGCACUUUCAGAAACAAUAAACCACAGUACAACUAUUGUUUGAAACUUGCACUUAUCUGAAUGGAUUGAGCCUGGGACCUUCUGAAGUGCAAAGAUUACCACUAUGGCUCAUUUCCCAAAUCUAAGGCUAACAAGACAAAGAUCCAGUGCUGUUGCUGCUGAUGGUGGACCCUACACCUUCCUCCCUCCAACCACAGAGAUUCUCAAGACAACGAGCAGAUCCGGCAGAACCCUUUUGCUGCCUGAAGAGAUGAAUUAGAUCAGGCUUCCUCAACCUCGGCCCUCCAUAUGUUUUGAGACUACAAUUCCCAUCAUGCCUUACCACUGGUCCUGCUAGCUAGGGAUCAUGGGAGUUGUAGGCCAAAAAUAUCUGGAGGGCCGAGAUUGAGGAAGCCUGAAUAAGAUGGUGCCCCCACCCCACAAUACCACACUCAGCUGCUGACAAAACUGGCAGCUUAACAUUGCUUUGAUACCAGAGAAUCCUCAACUACACAUCAACUACAACCAGCUCAGGAGGCAAAGGGCAGACCAUAUGGAACACACAGUUCUGCCCUCCACAUUUCCCACCCUCCAGCAUUUGCCACCUGAGGCAGCUUCUUCAAUUUGUCUAAAUGGUAGUGCUGGCCAUACUUGCAGAGCUCAGGGACUAGGGAAAGAAGAAUUUGUCAUUUUCAGUUUCUUGGUUUCUCAUUUUUCCUAUCUUAAAUUCAGUUUCCCACAUUUCAACAUCAGUUUGAUAUUUGUUUAGAAAAAGAGUCCUAAUCAAAAUCAAUCAGCAUUUUAAUACAAAUUCCUUCUAAUUUUUGCAUUGAAAGUAAUGGCUGUCCCCUUAAAGCAAGAGUAGGGAGCCACUAGUCCUCUAGAUAUUGCUGGACCACAACUGUCACCAUCCCUGAUCACUUGCCAUGGUACCUGGAGCUGGUGAGAGUUGAACAACAGCUGGAGGGCUGCAGUUUAGCCAACUCUGCCAUAAAGGCUUGAGGCAGCCAGAAAAAAGCAGCCACCAUGCCACCCAUCCUGAUCCUCCACCAGAUCCCUCCUCUGUGUUCUCUUUGCUUCCUUAGUAGUGAUUAGCAAAGAAGAUAAGAACAAAAGAAGGGUCUGCAGGAUGAGGCCAGUGGCCCAUCUAGUCCAGCAUCUUCUUCUCAGUGUGGCCCACCAGAUGCCAGCAAGCAGGACAACUGGUUGAACCAAAUGAUCAGUAGAGGAGCAAGGGAGGAAAACUAAAGCCAUGCAAAAAGACAAUGUAAAAAAAAGCAAAGAUGAGACAAACAUUUACCCUUUGUUGUCCUUCAAUUUGCAGACAGCCCUUCUGGCAGAAGAAAUCUUCCUCAUCCCCAUAGUUAUAUUGCUUAUUGAAGAAGUGCAUCCAAGGAUAUACUGAGCCCAGAAGAAACACCUUCCAGUGAUCCCAGAGGACCUCAUUAUAAAAGUUAGCAAUAGCCAAUUUCUUUUAUUUCAGUGGUGCUUCAAGGAUAUUGAUGGUCCCAUUUUGACAAUCCCAUUUUCUAGUCAGUUCCCCAUUUAAUUGUCUUAUUUAUUAAACCUCAGCACACAAUGUAAAUAAUAGCUCUCUUUGUUUGUACACGAACUAAUUAUAUGAUACAUAUAUGGCUAUGGGCUGUGGGUAGCAAUAACACAGUUUCAUUAAAUGAAUGAAAUGUAUGCUAGCCUUCCCCAACCUAGUGUCUUCCAGAUGAUGACAACUCUCAUCAGCCCAAACUAGCACAUGAUG